GAUGAACGCUGGCGGCGUGCCUAAUACAUGCAAGUCGAGCGAACAGACGAGGAGCUUGCUCCUCUGACGUUAGCGGCGGACGGGUGAGUAACACGUGGAUAACCUACCUAUAAGACUGGGAUAACUUCGGGAAACCGGAGCUAAUACCGGAUAAUAUAUUGAACCGCAUGGUUCAAUAGUGAAAGACGGUUUUGCUGUCACUUAUAGAUGGAUCCGCGCCGCAUUAGCUAGUUGGUAAGGUAACGGCUUACCAAGGCGACGAUGCGUAGCCGACCUGAGAGGGUGAUCGGCCACACUGGAACUGAGACACGGUCCAGAGUCCUACGGGAGGCAGCAGUAGGGAAUCUGCCGCAAUGGGCGAAAGCCUGACGGAGCAACGCCGCGUGAGUGAUGAAGGUCUUCGGAUCGUAAAACUCUGUUAUUAGGGAAGAACAAAUGUGUAAGUAACUAUGCACGUCUUGACGGUACCUAAUCAGAAAGCCACGGCUAACUACGUG
rnacentral:rRNA from 1 species